GCACCGUUCUUGAGGCUUGCACUCCCUUUCAUCGCUCCACAACGCCCUUUGGCGACCACGUACAUCGUGACGAGCAAAGGUUUCGAUAACGAAGAGACCUUAACCUGCUAAAUAGCCGGGCGGGCUUGGGUUGGCGGCUGGCUUCUUAGAGGGACUAUCGGGGUUUAGCCGAUGGAAGUUGGAGGCAAUAACAGGUCGGGGAGGCCCUUAGAGGUUCGGGGCCGCAGGGGGGCUACACGGACGGAGCCAGGGAGUCUUUUCCUUGUCCGGAAGGCCUGGGUAAUCUUGUGAAACUUUGUCGUGCUGGGGAUAGAGCAUUGCAAUUAUUGCUCUUCAACGAGGAAUUCCUAGUAAGCGUGAGUCAUCAGCUCGCGUUGAUUACGUGCCUGCCGUAACCUCGAGG
rnacentral:rRNA from 1 species